rnacentral:rRNA from 1 species
AUGGUAGGCGUACGGUGGAUGCCUGGGCACCAGAUGCUGAUGAAGGACGUGGGAGGCCGCGAUAGGCCUGGGGGAGUUGUCAACCGAGCUGUGAUCCCAGGGUGUCCGAAUGGGGUAACCUGGCCGGGGUGAUGCCCGGUCACCGGUGUCUGAAGAGAUUAGGGCGCCGGGGGGCACGUGGGGAACUGAAACAUCUCAGUACCCGCAGGAAGAGAAAACAAGAUGUGAUUCCCUGAGUAGUGGUGAGCGAACGGGGAGGAUGGCUAAACCGUCUGCGUGUCAAGCCGGUGGGUGUUGCGUGGGCGGGGUUGUGGGAGCGCCUGGUCUCUGCCGCCGCAGGGGCGCUGGGUGUGUGGUGUUAGCUGAAGGUGUUGGAAGGCACUGGCGGAGUGGGUGAGACCCCCGUAGGUGAAGGCACUGCAUAUCUGGUGGGGUGUGGUCCCGAGUAGCGCGGGACUCGUGCAAUCUCGUGUGAAUCGGCCAGGACCGCCUGGUAAGCCUGAAUACGUCUGGUGACCGAUAGUGGAUGUGUACCGUGAGGGACUGGUGAAAAGUACCCCGGGAGGGGAGUGAAAGAGUUCCUGAAACCGUGCGCUGUUAAACCGUCAGAGCAUGCCCGGUGACGGGUGUGUGAUGGCGUGCCUUUUGAAGAAUGAGCCUGCGAGUUAGUGGUGCGUGGCGAGGUUAACCCGUGUGGGGGAGCCGGAGCGAAAGCGAGUCUGAAUAGGGCGAGUGUAGUCGCGUGCUCUAGACCCGAAACCGAGUGAGCUACCCGUGGCCAGGGUGAAGCGCGGGUAAGACCGUGUGGAGGCCCGAACCCACCAGGGUUGAAAACCUGGGGGAUGAGCUGUGGGUAGGGGUGAAAGGCCAAUCAAACUCGGAGAUAGCUGGUUCUCCCCGAAAUGCAUUUAGGUGCAGCGUCGCGUGGUGCUUGGUGCAGGUAGAGCGACUGGAUGGCUGAUGGCCCCGGUGGGGGUACUGACGUCAACUAAACUCCGAAUGGCAUCAACGU